AUUGAACGCUGGCGGCAUGCCUUACACAUGCAAGUCGAACGGCAGCACGGGGCAACCUGGUGGCGAGUGGCGAACGGGUGAGUAAUGCAUCGGAACGUACCUUUCAGUGGGGGAUAACGUAGCGAAAGUUACGCUAAUACCGCAUAUUCUGUGAGCAGGAAAGCAGGGGAUCGCAAGACCUUGUCACGAUUGAGCGGCCGAUGUCAGAUUAGCUAGUUGGUGAGGUAAAGGCUCACCAAGGCGACGAUCUUGAGCGGGUCUGAGAGGAUGAUCCGCCACAAUGGAACUGAGACACGGUCCAGACUCCUACGGGAGGCAGCAGUGGGGAAUUUUGGACAAUGGGGGCAACCCUGAUCCAGCCAUGCCGCGUGAGUGAAGAAGGCCUUCGGGUUGUAAAGCUCUUUCGGCCGGGAAGAAAUCGCACGGGCUAAUACCCUGUGUGGAUGACGGUACCGGAAUAAGAGGCACCGGCUAACUACGUGCCAGCCGCCGCCGUAA
rnacentral:rRNA from 1 species